AUUCCCCUAGUAAGGGCGACUGAAGCGGGAUUAGCUCAUAUUGUGAAUCUGUGCCCUCGUGGCACCGAAUUGUGGUCUAUAGAAGCAUGUGUUUGGCACGCCGGGUCAAGUCCCUUGGAAAAGGGCAGCUGAGAGGGUGAGACUCCCGUUCAUGCCCGGGCUGUGGCCAUUUGACACUUGCUUUCGACGAGUCGAGUUGUUUGGGAUUGCAGCUCAAAGUCGGUGGUAAAUUCCAUCUAAAGCUAAAUAUUGGUGGGAGACCGAUAGUGUACAAGUACCGUGAGGGAAAGAUGCAAAGAACUUUGAAAAGAGAGUUAAAGAGUACCUGAAAUUGCUGAAAGGGAAGCGAAGGAAACCAGUGUUGUUGCCGAGUUAUACUUCUCCUCCCGCUCGCGGGUGGGGCGCUGUGGCUCGGCAGUGGUCACUCUUGGUUGGUCUCGGCAGAAACCCGUCGCGGGAGGUAGGUCCGUUCGCGGACUGAUACCAGCGGCUUGUGUGCCGGGAAUGACCGAGCGGUGAC
rnacentral:rRNA from 2 species